CAACGAAGCUUUUCCAUUUGUUUCCAGAUGAACCUCUCCGGUUCACUCUCUCUGAACUGCGAACCACAACAUCCUCCUCCGUUCGACGGCAUCUCCUCCCUUCUCCUCCGUUGGGCAACAUCUCCUCCGCUCCUUCUCCUGGGUCUAAAAAGAAAAGAGCUGCAAAUUACGGUGGCUCAGUUAUCUCCUCCCCAAUGUCCGUCGUGUCAACAUCACCCUUGAAGAACAGGUACAUGUGGAGCCAAAAAAUAAUCAAGAGGCGACUUAUCAAUUUUUAGGUGCAUAUAGCAAAAUUACUCUUGAUAUACAUUGAGUUUUUCACACGCGAGCAGUGAAAAAUCAUCCAUCAAUUGAGUCAAGAGUAUCCAAAACAGGUAACAAGUUCAAAUUUAUCUUAUCCAUCUUUACUUCAUUUCCUCUACAAAAAAAAUCAUUCUAUAACCUUCAAAAUCUUCUAUAUAAAUUAAAUUAAUUAGAUUAAUUAAUAAAUUAAUUCCUAAUUAAUCCAUUAAUCACCAAAAAAAUUAUCAUUACAGCUCAAAAAACAUCCAAGGGCCGGCCACUCUCUCUUCCAAAGAGGGCCGGCCAUGCUAUAUAACUAAGACUCCAUUUUCUUUUAAAAACUAAGUCCACACUAUUGCAAAAUUCUAAAAACUCUUUAAAUAUUUUUCUCUUUCUAACUUUGGUAUCAGAGGUUCUUUAGCCAAAACACCCCCCAUUCAUCGUGGGCGCGUGAGGUUUUUGGCCUUAACCAAAUGUGUUAAUUGUUUUGUAUGUGCAAUUUUAUUCAAGAAAAUUGCAUCCACAGUUCUGGUUCUUGAGCUUCACCCUCGCUGGGGUAACAGGUAAUUAUACAUAAUCAUCAUCAAAACAUAUGAUAAAUAAUUAUUCUAAUUGCAUGCAUGAACAUUCGAACUUUGCAAGUACCACCCUGCUCUUCCCCUUACUCAAUCUACUGUUCCUCUGCCUAGAGAGAUUGGAAAUUGGAAACCCCAAAGUUGAAAUUUCUCGCUUCAAAUUGGUAUGUUCUAUAUUCGAAUUCGUAUGAAAAAGUAGUGAGUUAUUUGUUGGGUUUUGUUGCUCUGAGCUUGCCGAUGAGUGGUCAUGUAAGCUCAUUAAAACUUUUGAGUUUUGGGUUUUGCUAUAAUUAAUUGAAGAUUUAAUAAGGACAAUUUCUUUACAAUUCUAGAGUUGCCCAUUUGGGGAAUUUGUGGAAUUCCAUUUAAACCUUAGAAUAUGUUUUUUUUCUCACAUUUGAUGAUUUGGGUGUUGAGCAGCAAUGCAUUGAUGGAUACUCUAUAAAAAAGGAGCGAUUUUGGAUGAUAACAGAGGAGUUGCCACAAUGCUUGAGGUCGCCAACCCCAAGAUUGGAGCUGCUUCAACCUGAAAAGGUUAAUUAUUUUACAAAAUAAGUUCCAAUUUCUUGGUAGUUUGGCUUAACAGUAAAUUCCAAGUGAAUUUUUCAGGUGGCAAAGUAGGAUCAAAAUCGAGUUUCAGGAAGUAAAGUGACGGCUUUUGAGUUUUAGGAGACAAAAUUGAAUCCAAAGCAAAUUCCAAAUAACGUAGCUAAAUAAGCCUUAUUGAAAACUUUCACGUGUUCGCUAACAUUGUAUACCAUAUUAUAACACUCAUUUGGAUGUGCAAAUUCAAAACAAUGGAGAUUGGAUUAAUUUCUU